UCUAGUUUCUGGGUAGGGUUUAAGCUUAAAUUUCCGGUUCUCGGUUAACAAUCCUUUUCUCAUGUUGCUCUACUUCGAGCUUCACAAUCACAGUUCACAGGUCAGAUUCAGAACACCACAAAGUGAUAUCAGUGUAUAUACUAAUGUAAAUUUCCCUCCCAAAAGUAAGGGAUGUAGGCAGUGCAUAAUCGAAAAUCAGAAUUCAAAAUUUGAAAUUUCAAACUAAAGAUCUACACUUCACUAAGAAUUUGCCACAAGUAUUUGAGAUAUCGUAUUGGUAGGAAGCAGAGCCCAGCAAAUCAGAAAAAAGACAAAACGUUAGUUUGAUUCCGACAUUCAGAAGUUGGGAAAUAUGGCGUGGAGGCUUUUGACAGCACGGCCUCUCACUAAAUUUAACUUCAACAACAAUCUCUCCUCAAAUUCUUGGCUUCUCACACCCCUCAUUUUCUUCUCCAAUUCCUUAUUCCCCAAAACAAGGUAUGUGGCCAGGAAUCUAUUAUUGGUCACCUUUAUUACAUGAAAGCAUCUCCUUUCUUGGGGAACAUAAGCUUUCACUCAAAUUCAUUUCUAAAGUAUAACGACAAGGUUGUAGAGCAACAACAUCAGGAUUCUGAAAAGGCCCCAUGUGCUAGUGGAGAUGGCAAUGCCAAAGUAAAGAGGAAAAAACUAAAGGGGAAAAGAGCAGUUGUAAGAUGGCUGAAGUUUUUUAGAUUUAAGAAGAAGAAAGAGUAUGAAAGGAUGACAGCUGAAGGAAAAAUUUUAUAUAAAUUGUUAAAGGUAAGUUCUAUUUGUUUUAUUUUAAUUUACAUAUAUUGAUCCUUUCUAUUGUUUCCAAAUAGUAUGAUUAUGCCGAGUCUUUCCUUUUGCACCAUUGCCAUCCUGUGCAUGCUAUAUCUAGAUACAUUUGUGUUUCUAUUUUGUAUUUUGCAUACUACACAUGGCUUAUAUUUACUCUUUAGCGACAAGAACUGGGAUCCUCACACUUUGUAACUGUGAUCUGUAGACUAAUGUUAAAGGUAUGAAUUUCUUAAAAUAGUAAAGCUCUUGAUGAAAAUAAAUCUAUUGUUGUAAUGUUGGGAAGUUAGUCAUGCAAUUUCUUGAUUAUGUAUGCAAAAGCCUGUUGCUUAAGAAUUCAACCAGAAUAC